rnacentral:lncRNA from 1 species
UUUAUAAUAUUUGUUUGCGCAGGUAUAUAUGCCCUUUGAAAUUUGAUACUGAAUAUGUGAUUCAGGUGCCUAUUUGUUCUUAACUUUUUUAGGUGAUUUAGUUAAUCAGUACAAGACACCAAGGUAUGUGGAGUUUAACCUAUGGCUGUUGUUGAACUCUUGAUUUUAUCAUUUUAUUGCACAUACUCUGAUAGUGAAUUAAUGGAUUAGCAAAUUAAUAUUAUUGUGGUUUUAUAUUGCCCUUUUCAAGUUACCGGAGAAUUGGAGUCUGUCAAAGUAUUGUAACCGCUUCAAUUGAAGAUCCUAAUGGUUAUAAGUUUGAAAAGAAUGACUUGCGAACCUUAUGCAAAGUGAUGCUUCAAUUGAAGAUCCUAAAGGUUAUAAAGGUUAUAAGUUUGAAGACACCAAGGUGUGUG